UACGUAGGGUGCGAGCGUUAAUCGGGAUUACUGGGCGUAAAGCGUGCGCAGGCGGUUUUGUAAGCCAGAUGUGAAAUCCCCGGGCUUAACCUGGGAAUGGCAUUUGGGACUGCAAGGCUCGAGUGCGGCAGAGGAGACUGGAAUUCCUGGUGUAGCAGUGAAAUGCGUAGAUAUCAGGAGGAACACCGAUGGCGAAGGCAGGUCUCUGGGCAUUAACUGACGCUGAGGAGCGAAAGCAUGGGGAGCGAACAGG
rnacentral:rRNA from 1 species